AUGAACGCUGGCGGCGUGCCUAAUACAUGCAAGUCGAACGAGUUCUGAUUAUUGAAAGGUGCUUGCAUCUUGAUUUAAUUUUGAACGAGUGGCGGACGGGUGAGUAACACGUGGGUAACCUGCCCUUAAGUGGGGGAUAACAUUUGGAAACAGAUGCUAAUACCGCAUAAAUCCAAGAACCGCAUGGUUCUUGGCUGAAAGAUGGCGUAAGCUAUCGCUUUUGGAUGGACCCGCGGCGUAUUAGCUAGUUGGUGAGGUAACGGCUCACCAAGGCAAUGAUACGUAGCCGAACUGAGAGGUUGAUCGGCCACAUUGGGACUGAGACACGGCCCAAACUCCUACGGGAGGCAGCAGUAGGGAAUCUUCCACAAUGGACGCAAGUCUGAUGGAGCAACGCCGCGUGAGUGAAGAAGGCUUUCGGGUCGUAAAACUCUGUUGUUGGAGAAGAAUGGUCGGCAGAGUAACUGUUGUCGGCGUGACGGUAUCCAACCAGAAAGCCACGGCUAACUACGUGCCAGCAGCCGCGGUAAUACGUAGGUGGCAAGCGUUAUCCGGAUUUAUUGGGCGUAAAGCGAGCGCAGGCGGUUUUUUAAGUCUGAUGUGAAAGCCCUCGGCUUAACCGAGGAAGUGCAUCGGAAACUGGGAAACUUGAGUGCAGAAAAGGACAGUGGAACUCCAUGUGUAGCGGUGAAAUGCGUAGAUAUAUGGAAGAACACCAGUGGCGAAGGCGGCUGUCUGGUCUGUAACUGACGCUGAGGCUCGAAAGCAUGGGUAGCGAACAGGAUUAGAUACCCUGGUAGUCCAUGCCGUAAACGAUGAAUGCUAGGUGUUGGAGGGUUUCCGCCCUUCAGUGCCGCAGCUAACGCAUUAAGCAUUCCGCCUGGGGAGUACGACCGCAAGGUUGAAACUCAAAGGAAUUGACGGGGGCCCGCACAAGCGGUGGAGCAUGUGGUUUAAUUCGAAGCAACGCGAAGAACCUUACCAGGUCUUGACAUCUUUUGAUCACCUGAGAGAUCAGGUUUCCCCUUCGGGGGCAAAAUGACAGGUGGUGCAUGGUUGUCGUCAGCUCGUGUCGUGAGAUGUUGGGUUAAGUCCCGCAACGAGCGCAACCCUUAUGACUAGUUGCCAGCAUUUAGUUGGGCACUCUAGUAAGACUGCCGGUGACAAACCGGAGGAAGGUGGGGAUGACGUCAAAUCAUCAUGCCCCUUAUGACCUGGGCUACACACGUGCUACAAUGGAUGGUACAACGAGUUGCGAGACCGCGAGGUCAAGCUAAUCUCUUAAAGCCAUUCUCAGUUCGGACUGUAGGCUGCAACUCGCCUACACGAAGUCGGAAUCGCUAGUAAUCGCGGAUCAGCACGCCGCGGUGAAUACGUUCCCGGGCCUUGUACACACCGCCCGUCACACCAUGAGAGUUUGUAACACCCGAAGCCGGUGGCGUAACCCUUUUAGGGAGCGAGCCGUCUAAGGUGGGACAAAUGAUUAGGGUG
rnacentral:rRNA from 1 species